UACGUGAAUAUCCAUUGACAAAAUGUGUGAAUGACGUUUGGACGUGUGUUCUUUUCCAUAAUUCACGUUCCAAUAAUAAUAACUAGAGAAUACAAUGACAAACAGGGUAUGCGUUUGCUUUUUUUCCACAAUUCACAAGUUUAUUAUAACAAUAUUAACAAGGGAAUGCGAUGAAAAAUGCACAAAUUGGCAUGUACUGCCCUGCAGUACCGUUUUGGAGCCUGGAUAGCGCUUUGCACCCUCUCGUCCUCUCUCUCCCCUCCUCUCCCCUCCCCGCUCUGUUUCAGCUUCUCCUCAAGCCACGCACCUGUCUCCAAUCAACCCUCAUCACCACCUACAUUUAAGUCUACCUGUUCCCGGAAAUCCUCGCCAAAGUAUUGGAGCCUCUGCUAGCGGUACCACGGCCCACCGUACUCAUGUGAAGCAACAUGGUGGCCGCCAGGCAAUUCCUUCCCUCUCUAGCAGCUGCUAAAUCAGAACAACAAUCACAACACAAGCAGAAAGAAGUAUUUUCUUCUCUCCAUGAUUGCGUAUGGCGUGCAGUUUGGCAGAUACCGAGCAGUUCUUCAAAAAGAGUCAACAUGUGUUUCCUUCAAGCAGUUUAUUCACAUUCCCGGUUGGAUUUUAUUGUAAAACUAAC